CUACGGAGGGGGUUAGCGUUGUUCGGAAUUACUGGGCGUAAAGCGCACGUAGGCGGAUUAGUAAGUUAGAGGUGAAAUCCCAGGGCUCAACCCUGGAACUGCCUUUAAUACUGCUAGUCUUGAGUUCGAGAGAGGUAAGUGGAAUUCCUAGUGUAGAGGUGAAAUUCGUAGAUAUUAGGAAGAACACCAGUGGCGAAGGCGGCUUACUGGCUCGAUACUGACGCUGAGGUGCGAAAGCGUGGGGAGCAAACAGGAUUAGAUACCCCAGUAGUCC
rnacentral:rRNA from 1 species